GGAGGAUGAGAAGAGAUUGCCAAGUGCCAUCCAGCAAACCACUGAUAAUGAAAGAGAAGAGAGAAGAAAAUGAGCGGAGUGCACCAGUCUACCGAACUGCUGGUCGAAAAUAGUUCAGGGCAAGAGAACAUGUUCUGAUCUUAAGAUUACCUUAGGCCUUUGACCUUACUAAUAGCCGAUCAAAGAACUAAAGAUGAUACAGGUGACGUACAGGUUGAGGAUCCAGAGGAUCAUCUCCCGAUGGAAGACUACACUGAUUGAAUAAAGAUAAUAGUUUUAUGAAUUUGGUUUUAUUUAUAUUUACACUAGAAAAACUCUAUGAUGUAAUAGGCUCCCAUUGUGAGAGCAUUUGGUAAUUAGUUGAACUUCAUUCAAAUAGAAUAAUAAAUAUGGUUGAUUUUA